AUGUACACUGAGGAGGAAGCAGAAGAAGCACGUAAAGAUGGUGUCGAUCUGCUGGAAGAGGGCUGGCUGUUGGCACUCAGCCGGUCCAGCAUCUACCAGCAGAGCCUGGGCCGAUACUACAACAAGAAGGUCAGGCUGAGAUCUUUGCAAGAGGGCGACCUUGUGCUCCGACUGAUCCAGCGAACAGCCGGCCAGCACAAGCUGUCGGCACCUUGGGAAGGCCCCUUCAUUAUUAGCAAAGUGCUGGGCAACGACUCCUACUACCUGAUCGGCGCUCUGAAGCCCCGAGCACGCAAGAGGGACGACUCCGGCAAAGAGAUGGAACGCCCAUGGAAUGCAAAUCUUCUCCGAAGAUUUUACAGUUGA
rnacentral:rRNA from 1 species